GCCCGUAUAGCUCAGCGGUAGAGCGCAUCACUCGUAUCAUUAUCUACCCGGGUUUGAGUCCAUCUAAACCAGGGGAGAUAUUGAUUGCUUAUGAUGAGGCCACUAGUUCGAUCCUGGUUAUGGGUA